AUUGAACGCUGGCGGCAGGCCUAACACAUGCAAGUCGAGCGAGCGGCGGACGGGUGAGUAAUGUAUGGGGAACUGCCCGAUAGAGGGGGAUAACUACUGGAAACGGUGGCUAAUACCGCAUACUAUCGGAUGAACCCAUAUGGGAUUAGCUAGUAGGUGGGGUAAAGGCUCACCUAGGCGACGAUCCCUAGCUGGUCUGAGAGGAUGAACAGGCAAACCGGGACUGAGACAAGGCCCAAACUCCUUCGGUGGGCAGCAGGGGGGAAAAAUGGACAAUGGGCGCAAACCUGAUGCAGCCAUGCCGGGGGUAUUGAGAAGGCCUUAGGGUUGUAAAGUACUUUCAGCGGGGAGGCGUUACCCGCAGAAGAAGCACCGGCUAACUCCGUGCCAGCAGCCGCGGUAAUUC
rnacentral:rRNA from 1 species